rnacentral:rRNA from 1 species
GAUGAACGCUAGCGGCAGGCUUAACACAUGCAAGUCGAGGGGCAGCGUGGAGCAGCAAUGCUCUGACGGCGACCGGCGGAAGGGUGCGUAACACGUGAGCGACUUGCCCGUCACAGGGGGAUAACCGGCGGAAACGGCGACUAAUACCCCAUAUGAUGCGAUGCUGCAUGGCAUUGCAUUGAAAGAUUCAUCGGUGGCGGAUAGGCUCGCGGGACAUUAGCUAGACGGCGGGGCAACGGCCCACCGUGGCGACGAUGUCUAGGGGUUCUGAGAGGAAGGCCCCCCCANACUGGGACUGAGACACGGCCCAGACUCCUACGGGAGGCAGCAGUGAGGAAUAUUGGUCAAUGGGCGGAAGCCUGAACCAGCCAUGCCGCGUGAAGGACUAAGGGCCCUACGGGUCGUAAACUUCUUUAGACGCAGAGCAAUAAGGUCCACGCGUGGACCGAUGAGAGUAUGCGUAGAAU